CGAAAGCCUGACGGAGCAAGACCGCGUGAGGGAGGAAGGCUCUUGGGUUGUAAACCUCUUUUCUCAGGGAAGAAGCUCUGACGGUACCUGAGGAAUCAGCCUCGGCUAACUCCGUGCCAGCAGCCGCGGUAAUACGGAGGAGGCAAGCGUUAUCCGGAAUUACUGGGCGUAAAGCGUCCGUAGGGGGCUCGUCAAGUCUGCUGUCAAAGCUCGGAGCUCAACUCCGACCCGGCAGUGGAAACUGGGGAGCUAGAGGGCGGCAGGGGCAGAAGGAAUUCCCAGUGUAGCGGUGAAAUGCGUAGAUAUUGGGAAGAACACCGGUGGCGAAAGCGCUUUGCUGGACCGAACCUGACGCUGAGGGACGAAAGCUAGGGGAGCG
rnacentral:rRNA from 1 species